CUACAAAUUUGUUGUCGUUUACAAGUUUCGAAAAGAAGAGUUAAAGACUUCAAAAAAGAAAAACGGAAUAAUCACUUUUUCUUUUGAACGUGGAUGCCCGAUAAAAAAAUUACAAAAGUGCGGUCAUCGUCCUGUCAACUUUGGUGUUGCAUUUUUCAUGCUAUCUUCUCCAUGCUGUUUGGCAGAUUUGAGGCCUGAGCCAGCCAUCGUAACAGCAAAGUUUUGCUUGUGCUGGACCUGCAGUCAUAUGAUUUGACUGAUGACCUCCUGUCAUCACUAACAAUCACAGUAUCAUUACUUCGAUAAACAGCAGCCCGUUUAAUUGGAGAAACUUCCAGUGUCGACCGAGUUGAGGAUCUCAUCAAUUCCCCUUUCUUUAAAUGUCCUCGUGUACGCCCGUGUGAAUGUGGGUGUAUUUACGAGGACUCCCUUUUACUUAUCCCUGCUGGUCGUGGAUUCAACUUUUGGAUGCCGGGCUGUGGAUUUCCCAGGCUGAAAGGUAGGACAAAUUCAUCUCUUUUCUUCCUUUUUGCUAUUUGGUGUGAUUUGAUUGUUAAUCGUGUCAUAGUACGGAGUACGAUUAUUCCAGAGCCAUGCAGUUGACUGCAACUGUUUUAUCUUGCUGUUUUUGUUUUUCUCAGUCAGGGUUCAUUAAAUACUGUAGCUCACGUGUAGAACGUCAGAUCAGGCCUGUUUUUGUACCCCGCAACUUUGCCUGUUGAUAAAAAAUCAAAUUCAGAAAUAUUUGAACUUCAAGAACUUGAAGCAAAGUACAACUUGAACAAUUUUUGAUUUUUCCAACAAGAGGUACUUGCUGCCACACCGGCACUUCCUGACAUAAUUAAAUAUCACGCAAGUUAUCUUUUUCCAAUGUAAUAAAUCUCAUCGAUAACUCCUUAGCCCAAUACGAGCCAAGUUCAUCGUCCUUCUCCUUAUUUGCACUCUGCAGCUUAUUAGUUGUUGUUUCAUAUUUACAUAUAUGGAGUGAAGUCGAUCGGCUUGUUGGCCCCUUCUCGCACACAACAAUAACGGGCCAUGGUUGCUGGGUCAAAAAUGAGUAUCAGUAGUAAAUUGUGUGUAACGGUAUAUUAAUUAAUACGGUAAUGAAUUUAUCAACUAUACACAUACUAAAAAAAUUGAUGGUCUUUUAGAAGUAAUAAUGUAAAGUGUCAAAAGCCAUUUUUUUAUUUCCAGCAUACAUGCGCACAAGGUAACUUGUACGCAUUAAGUCAACAUUUUUACAUCACUUAUAUUACACACAACAGAAAUUGAGUAUUCAAUCUAAACUCUAAUGAGCUAUACCGCGUGCUGUCAUCCAACGAAUUUUUGAUUUAUAAAUACUCAGUUCAAAGACAGGUACAUCCAUCACUAUCCGGGCACCUUACAUCGACAUCAGGAUGUCAGGUUACUUGUAAUCUUUCAUUUAUUUCCCGAUGGAAAUGCCUGCAAAGGGAUAUUUGAUCAGACAAAAUUGUAAAGCAUAUUAUUAUUAGAAUAAGGUAUCAUUUACUGUUUCCAUCUCCGAAAGCAAAAUUUCCCAGUGGGGUGGCAAUACCAACUCCGAUGCCGACUCCUAUGCCGAAACCACCUGUUUGAUCGGGAAUGCAUAUUUGUAAUUGUACAGUGUAAAACAAACAUCUUCCGAUUCACUAAAUUUUACCUGGGCCAGCGUUGGCGAUACCGGUACCUGUACCGAUAGCUUGAUUCCCUAUAACAGCACCGUUACCGGCUCCGGCAGCAUUCGCUCCGCCACCCAGACCUCCCAAAGGCGAACCUUGUCAACAACAAAACAAUUGUAAAUUCAAAGUGAAAAUAAUAGAAAUUCGAAAUCAAAUUUUUACCUCCAAUCAGGGGUCGUCCUGCUAAAGCUCCUCCAAUUAGAGGUCUUAAUAAUUGCUGAAGGGGACGAGGACGACGACCUGCUGGACCAACAAGAAACAAGCGACGACGAUCGUCGUCAUCGGAAAGAGCUGGCCCAACCAACGCCAUCCCCAAAAGAAUCAGCAUCAUAACCUGGUGAGAGACGGAAAUCAUUAUUGAUUGAGGACCACAAAUAUGUUCGAAAUCAAAUACGAGAGCGUAUAGAAAGCUAUCGCUAGCAGAUAUAAUAACAGUUAGCCAGCUGGAACAAUCAAACAAUUUAGUUUACCUUAGUAUUCAUUGUAGAGAAGAGUUUUAUAGAUUGUAUAUCCUCUGAGUGUUUUGUGGAACUGUGAAAGCUGUUGAGCUACUGCCUGACUGUCAUCAAGCACUGCUUUAAAUAAGCCAGCAGCUUUGCAGCAGAUCUGUCUUGAAGCCAAUCAAGCUUCCUGUUAACCUUUACUUCCACAGCAUUGAAUGUCAAGCAAAAUCCCCUUCUACUCCAAAAAAUCAGGAUUUUUUCUUACCUCCUCAUUAGUCUCGAUGAAGGCCGUUAAUCUUACAGAUCCGAUCGCCGACCAAAGCGGCAGUUGGCACUGGUGAUAACCCAACAUCAGGAAUGACAAAAACACGGAUUGGUUUCAUCGGGCUUUCAAGGGUAGAAACAUAUUUUCUCCUUCAAUUGAGUUGCCAAUAAUAAUACGGUCAGGGGAAACUGUGUGCCCUUUAAAAUGUCGUGCUCGAAUUCGAUCAAGUUUCAGCAAUUAGUGGAUAUAAAUCCUGCGCAAGUUGAUGUUACAUAUCCAUGUCGUUCAGUAUGUUGGUAAACUGUAGAGGAAGAAGCAGCGUGCGCCAUUGAAUCCGAUUUGAAAGUUUGACCUUUUGGAUCCAGUUUCUCGCUUUUUGUUUCUUUACUUCCGCUAACAGGUGCAUAGCUCGGCUCUGUGCUUGCUUAUUCUCCUUCCGCAUUUCGAUCAGACUUGAGUUUUGAUUUUCAAUAGUAUAGCACAUGUUUUUCUUUUUUUUUAAUUCUAGGCUUGAGUAAUUCUCGAAAAGCUUUACUUGAUUUCUAUCUGAAUUCUGCUUUUCAGUUUUACAGGGGCGUGAAAGCACCCAGAUGUAUUGUGGUAAGGAGUUAUGACGCAAUGAAAUAAUAUUGCGAAGUAACUAAAACGUGUAUUCAUUUCAAAAUCUCCAACACUCUACAAUGGCAAUCCAAGGGCACCGCCAAAUCGGAGACCUCCACUCGGUAAAUUCAAAGGCGAAGUUGAUCGAAAUGGCACUGCACCGCCGACACCGAGUCCUCCGCCUGCUGGUAGAGGCAAUGGUGAAGUCGAUCGCAAAGGUACCGCGCCUCCAACGCCAAGACCUCCACCUGGUAACGGUAAAGGCGAAGUCGAUCGCAAAGGCAAAGUCUCGCCUAAUCAAAGUUCAAUCAACUUGCGUGAUUGAAAUGAAAAGCAUAAAAGCGAGAAAUACAAUUUUAUUACCUCCUGCCGGGAAAACCUGCUGUCUCCCUCCUCGGGCUAGACCAGUGAAAGGUAGAAAUAUUUGUUGAUUGCUGAUGGGACCCUCAAGAGGAGAAACAACAAAUAUGCGAAAGUCGUCCUCGGUAAACCCUGUACCAACCAGCACCAUCGCCGUAAGCAUCAGCAUGAUCGUCAUCACCUUCGUGAAAAUUUCCGUAAAAUAAUUGAUGGUCGUUAGAAACUUAGAAUGCAGUGAAUGAACUUAUACAGGAACGCUUGAGCUAUAAUAAUAUCGCUCUGUAUGCAGAAAAGAUGUGAGGCACUUUGAUGCACGCUUUAAAUUCUAUAUGGUACGGAACUUUGAUUACCUUAUUGAUUCCCAUGGUGGCGGCACAGUCCAAAUGUUUUAAAGUAGCGUUUCGAUGGCACAGAAAGGCGUUGCAUAACUGCGGAAUAUUUUGAUAUGAGCAAGCCUUUUUAAAUAACCAGCUAUCUUCGUUUUUUGGGGGGAAAUUACUAACUAAUUGUUUCCGUUGAAAAGCGGCCAUUUGUUCUUUUUUUAUGUUAGAAUUUAGAUGUUUUGGCCAUGCUCUUGUUCUGGGUUUUCAAGGUUGUAUCUUUCUUCAUUAGAAUGUAUAUAUCAAGAAUGCUGUAACAGAUAUUUUAUCAUACUGUUUCAUUUCGGAGCAGAGUACCAUAUCAAUAAGAUGCAAGAGUUACCUUUAUUGGGACUAUAUAUUUUCCACCCAUUCACGAGAUGGUCUUUCUCAUCAGCAGAGUUCCCGAUAGCUACUUUCGAGCGUUUUGACAUUAAUAUUUGUUGGGCGGUAGCUAUACGGUUGUUGGCUCAGAGCCAGUAAAGGUAGUUUAUAGUUAUUGCUACAACGUAGUUGGAAAACCCUUCUUUUACGAAUGAGCCAACUCAGUUUUGUACUUCCUUUAUUUUGCUCUAUUAUUGUCUUCACUUCCUCAUGGAGAGUUGCGACAAGGUUGUUCGUUGUUUGUUUGGACCUCGGGAAUACGCUGUUCCUCCUCAUUCCUUUCAUAUUUUUUUUUUCGAAACCCUUAUUCCAUUUUUUAUCUUUUAUUUCUUAAGAAAUUCGAUGACCUUCAUUUUUGUGAAACAACAGCUCGUACUAAGAUCAUAAAGAAACAAGCUUUGCUUUUUACAGGGCACUCUAUAACUUCCUUAACAGAAGAAUUUUUUUUUUUUUACAGUAACGAUUGUUAUUAUUAAUAUUUAAUGUUUUCCUUUUAUGUACAUAGCCCAGAAUGGUUAUCUGUACAUGGUUGGAAUUCUGUUUUCUGUUUCUGGCUUGACCGCACCUGAACUUCGUCACGCAAAGACGCUUACGGACGAUUUACUAUACAUUCCAUUCACUUCGCUAACUUAAAAUUUAAAAAGUAUACGGAGAAAUGAGUUCAUUUUUUUCUUCGGAUAUUCGACAACUAUAUUACACAUGAUACAUGGAUUGAGAAAUGAACAAAACGUGAACAUUGGGCAUGAUGUAUAAAAUUGGUUAAGCAAUCAGUUACCAUGGCUAUCAAUGCUAAAUUUUCUUCAUGCGUUUAUUUCCCAGCCGAAAUACCUGCGUGAUUGAUAAAAAGAAAUGAGCUUAUGAACUCGGGCUCGUUUUUAGCGGAAAUGUAAUGUAGACUUACUCUGUCCGUCUCCGAAAGCAAAAUUACCGAUCGGAGUUGCUACACCAGCACCUACUCCGAGACCGAUACCAAAUCCACCUUUUGGGUUUCAAUUGAAAAUAUAUUAUAGUUCGUUGCAAUCAACUUUUAUCAAUCGUUUAUUAUUCAUACCUGGCCCUGCGUUUGCAAUUCCGGUUCCUGUUCCGACUGCUUGGUUAUUUUGAACAAAUCCGUUUCCGAAUCCUGCAGCA